rnacentral:rRNA from 1 species
CCUACGGGCGGCAGCAGUGGGGAAUAUUGGACAAUGGGCGAAAGCCUGAUCCAGCCAUGCCGCGUGUGUGAAGAAGGCCUUCGGGUUGUAAAGCACUUUCAGUGGGGAAGAAAGCCUUGGGGCUAAUACCCUCGAGGAAGGACAUCACCCACAGAAGAAGCACCGGCUAACUCCGUGCCAGCAGCCGCGGUAAUACGGAGGGUGCGAGCGUUAAUCGGAAUUACUGGGCGUAAAGCGCGCGUAGGCGGUCUGAUAAGCCGGUUGUGAAAGCCCCGGGCUCAACCUGGGAACGGCAUCCGGAACUGUCAGGCUAGAGUGCAGGAGAGGAAGGUAGAAUUCCCGGUGUAGCGGUGAAAUGCGUAGAGAUCGGGAGGAAUACCGGUGGCGAAGGCGGCCUUCUGGACUGACACUGACGCUGAGGUGCGAAAGCGUGGGUAGCAAACAGGAUUAGAUACCCUGGUAGUC